rnacentral:RNase_P_RNA from 1 species
GGUAGCGGCUGGAGGGCUUCCCCUCUUUUUUUGGGGGGUGGAAGUUCCAUCCAUCCCGUUUUAUUGCAGCCCUGUGAGGGGAUUCCCCGAGAGGGGUUUGGUUUGUUUGCAGAGACGAGAUGCCUUAUACCAUGAGACUGUGAUUCCUUUAUGAUGAGGAGUAUGGUAUGCUGGCUUGUGAAACGAAACAGACCCUGCUGGGAUGCAACUCCUUUUAUUGGAGGCUUAGACGGAUGCCCUCGUUCCCUGAUAGGGAAUACAGAAGAUGGACUAUAGGCCGCUGCC